AUUGAACGCUGGCGGCGUGCCUAACACAUGCAAGUCGAGCGGUAACAGGUGUAGCAAUACAUGCUGACGAGCGGCGAACGGGUGAGUAAUGCUUCGGAAUCUACCCAAUGGUGGGAAUAACCAGCCGAAAGGUUGGCUAAUACCGCAUACGUCCCACGGGAGAAAGCAGGGGAUCGCAAGACCUUGCGCCAAUGGAUGAGCCGAAGUCGGAUUAGCUAGUUGGAGGGUAACGGCCUACCAAGGCGACGAUCCGUAGCUGGUCUGAGAGGACGACCAGCCACACUGGGACUGAGACACGGCCCAGACUCCUACGGGAGGCAGCAGUGGGGAAUAUUGGACAAUGGGGGAAACCCGUGAUCCAGCGACGCCGCGUGUGUGAAGAAGG
rnacentral:rRNA from 1 species